AUAGGAUUAAGUAUCAAAAAGAACAUAUUUACCCUCAGGGGUUGGCCUGGUGGCAAUUGACUUGAGCCUUGGGGUUUCCUCCUUUUCAAGGUCUCAAGUUCGAAACCGUUGGGUGCAAACAAUUUCUGAGGGCCAUCAGACUGGGUAAAACCUAAAUUAACCGUGAUGCACUUGCGGGAAACUCCUUGCACAUGGCAUGUGCACUCCCAUGAUUAGUCGAGACUGGAAGAGACUCUGACACUCGGUGCAAAUAAAAAAAAACAUAUUUACCAACAAAGAAACUCAAUAAUAGAUUUUACUUGCAUGCAUUCUGAUUCUUAGAAUUAUAGUGAAAAGAAAACAUCUUUAGGCACACCCAUAUCAUAUCACAUCUUUCCAAUACGCUAAAUUAUCAAGAAGCACAUCUUUCCAAUAAAGCUAAUUCUAAAAUAGAACUUAGCAUUCACAUUCCUAGAACUCCAAAAGCAGAGAAUUUGUAUUUGAUCUUUGGCCAUCAAUUAUUUUUGCUACCAUCACCAUUAAUCGUUCAAUUACUAAAAUUCAGAUAGUGAAAACAUUGGAGAAAUUAUUCCAGAACAUUUUGGAAAAACAAACUAGUUUUAGACUGAAAUGAAUACCUUCAAGCUAAGAAUUAUUUCCACAAUGCUUCUCCAAGAGUUACAGUAUCAAAAGUGAACCAAAAGUUAAAUUGAGGUAUGAGCUCGGAUUGUUUCCUAUGUCAACAAGUAGCAGAGAAAAAUGCAAAAAGCAAAAACCAAAAACUAAAAUCAAUAGCACUGGGGUAGGCUCAGAUUCGCCUUUUCUCAGACAAAAUCCAAAAAGCUUUGGAAAAAACUUCCAUGGCUGCAGGCAUAAGUUAGCCUUGUGAGACAGGAAAAAACACCCGAAAAAUGGAUUUUCUCCAUUAUCUCAUAGACCAACAGUAUAGGGUAAGGCCUAUCUACAUGUUGUUGUUGUUGUAUCUCAUAGACAUAUCUGAGCUGCCAUGCCAAGAUACAGUUUUUUCCAGCUCAAUAGAUUUGUAAGUCUGUCUUUUUCACAAAUAACAAUCUUCAUAGCCAUUAAUAAAUUGGAACAGAGGAAGUAAUAAAUCAAUCAACCUAGAGUAGUUUUGCAAUCAGAAAAUUUUCAUUUGAGUGAUCAUUGGCGUAAUAAAUAAAUCAACCUACAGUAGUUUUGCAAUCAGAAAAUUUUCAUGAUCAUUGGCAACGGAGAAUGAUAGAGAGGGGCAAAACCACCCAUUAAAACUCCCUACAACUCUCUUCUUUCACCGCUGCCUCAGACUUAAACUAAUGAGAUUUUUGCUAUUUUCAUGUUAUCGCCACUUCUUAUAUAUUGUGCCCU
rnacentral:lncRNA from 1 species